AUGUGAAAGUUGAAUUCUAGUAGCUAUAAGGAUUAAAUAGCUAUGGAAUUCAAAUUUAGAGGUCCUUAUAUGAUAAUUAGACCAUUAAGGAAAAGUAUGUAGAUUCUUGGUGACUCAUCUAUCGAAAUAUAGGAAAAGGGCAAGGACUAAAUUGGAAAUUGCAAACUACUUAAUUAAUUAAAAGUUGAAAAGAAAAUAUCGUCUUACUUUCUCAUCAUCUUCAACCUAAAAACACAUGGAAACCCUAGGAGAGAGAGAAGAGACUUUGAAGGCCUAAUUGGUUAAAAAGAGGGACCAAGAUAUUACCAUUUUGGGCUGCUGUGUUAAAAAAGCUUGUAGGAAGUUUAGGAAUUUUACUUCGGUACAAGUUAAUUGGAUUGGCCGAUGUAAUAAUAAGGCUGCUGAUUUUCUUUGUAAGUUAGCGAUUAAAGAAAAGUGUAAUUCGUACUUCAAUAUGGAUUUUCCCUUGGAAAUUCAUAGUAUUGUCAUUAAUGAUGCAAUAAAA